CAUCCUGCUACAUAAAGAUGCAACUUUGCCAAGGAAAUGCUCAACUUUCUCCACAGACUCUUUCAAGCAUCACAAGAUGUUUAGGUAUUGUGGAUCUUAACGAAUCCAAGUAAAUUCAUAACUGAGGCAUGAAUGAACCAGGAGACAAUGACCUGAUGCUGUGUACAGGUGAGUGGAAAAAGUCUCCUUGAUGACAGCAAG